GUGGGGAAUAUUGGACAAUGGGCGAAAGCCUGAUCCAGCCAUGCCGCGUGUGUGAAGAAGGUCUUCGGAUUGUAAAGCACUUUAAGUUGGGAGGAAGGGUAGUAACCUAAUACGUUGCUACUUUGACGUUACCGACAGAAUAAGCACCGGCUAACUUCGUGCCAGCAGCCGUGGUAAUACGAAGGGUGCAAGCGUUAAUCGGAAUUACUGGGCGUAAAGCGCGCGUAGGUGGUUCAGUAAGUUGGAAGUGAAAUCCCCGGGCUCAACCUGGGAACUGCUUUCAAAACUGCUGAGCUAGAGUACGGUAGAGGGUGGUGGAAUUUCCUGUGUAGCGGUGAAAUGCGUAGAUAUAGGAAGGAACACCAGUGGCGAAGGCGACUACCUGGACUGAUACUGACACUGAGGUGCGAAAGCGUGGGGAGCAAACAGGAUUAGAAACCCGGGUAGUCC
rnacentral:rRNA from 1 species